GCGAAAUUCUAGACUCUUUGUAAGAAUGAGAUGAAUUAAUCUAUAUAAAGCACUUAGUAUAGCAGCAAGAUGUGAAUGCUCAAGAAAUGCAUUUCAGGCAGGAAGCAGAGAAAUGGUGGCCAAGUGACCAUUAACUGAUGAUGUUGGAAUCAUCUUUGACAGCUGCUGCUUCUCUAGGGCAGCCAAAGCCAUUUUAGGAUGGUGAGAGACAUGCCGCCAGCACAUUGGAAAUGCGUCUCUGGUGGACAGGAAACAGUAUGAGUCACACUCGAAGUUCUCUGUUGUUCGGAAGGGGUGAAACCACUUUGACUUCAGGAGGACUGAAGGUGUUAGGAGCUGCUUGGCAUUUUGACUGUGUUUUCUGAGACGAAUAUGUAUGUAUGACUGCCUGGGGAGAAACCACACACAACAGAGCCUGAAGCGACUAACGACUAACACCAGGUCAGUCAGGAAGCUCUGGAAGUUUGAUGGAAACUCAUGCAAUAUGAGAAAGACUUGACCAGCUAUGGCUAACUUUGAAAGUGGAAGGCGUCCAGGAGCCAAGGAAUGUGGGUGGGCAGCCUUAGAAGCUGAGAAGGGAGCCUAAAGAAGAUGAAAUCAAUUGGCACGGAUUCUGCAACUAAAUGAUGCUUUCGCAGGGGUAAAGCUUUUUGGAACUGCACUGCUUACUAAGAGCGUGAAAUGCCACAGGAGUGGCUGAAACAUUGGUGGAAGUCAGCCUGUGGGGCCAUUCUGCCACGCUUCCUCUAUACUCUGCCACCCUCAGGAGAUUACUGGAGAGGGCGGGGGUCAUUGAGUGCACGUGAGGUCCCAUUUGCUGCCCCUCGCUGGUGAGCAUGCACCAUCUGCCCAGAGGAAGGACAACGCUGUCUAUGGGUUUGCAGCGCGAGUCACUUACACAGGUAGUUUGUGAGAGGCAUAUGACACAGCAAAACUUGCUUUGAGUAAAAUCAAAAACAUCAGA